GGGAACCAAUUCAGGCCACCAUAGACCUACAUAUACCUAGACAUACUAAAACCCCCAUAGAUAUACAAAAACCCUAGACAGGGGAAACGCCUAGACAAUACAAAAACUAAACCAACCACCCUCGUCACACCCUGACCUAACCAAAAUAAUAAAGAAAACAAAAGAUAACUAAGGUCAGGGCGUGACAGUGUGAAUACAUUCUGAAGGCGCUGUAGAUUCCCUUGGAAUGUUUGGCUCUUCUAUUGAAUUUAGGGGCGGCAGGGUAGCCUAGUGGUUAGAGUGUAGAGGCGGCAGGUAGCCUAGUGGUUAGAGUGUAGAGGCGGCAGGUAGCCUAGUGGUUAGAGUGUAGAGGCGGCAGGGCAGCCUAGUGGUUAGAGUGUAGAGGAGGCAGGUAGCCUAGUGGUUAGAGUGUAGAGGAGGCAGGUAGCCUAUUCAAAUCCCCGAGCUGACAAGGUACAAAUCUUGUCAGACAAAUCUGUCGUUCUGCCCCUGAACAGGCAGUUAACCCACUGUUCCUAGGCCGUCAUUGAAAAUAAGAAUUUGUUCUUAACUGACUUGCCAAGUUAAAUAAAGGUAAAAAAAAAUAAAACAAUUUAGAUUAGUUUCUGUCUGAUUGUAAGACGACUGAGUACUCCACAAUUUCAUACUCUUUUUUUUUUCCAACAG
ensembl:lncRNA